UUUUGCCUACGGGAGGCAGCAGUGGGGGAUAUUGCACAAUGGGGGGAACCCUGAUGCAGCGACGCCGCGUGGGUGAAGAAGUAUUUCGGUAUGUAAAGCCCUAUCGGCAGGGAAGAAAUUAGACGGUACCUGACUAAGAAGCCCUGGCUAACUACGUGCCAGCAGCCGCGGUAAUACGUAGGGGGCAAGCGUUAUCCGGAUUCACUGGGUGUAAAGGGAGCGUAGACGGCCAUGCAAGCCUGGAGUGAAAGCCCGGGGGCCAACCCCGGGACUGCUCUGGGAACUGUGCGGCUGGGGUGCGGGGG
rnacentral:rRNA from 1 species